rnacentral:rRNA from 1 species
UACGAAGGGGGCUAGCGUUGCUCGGAAUUACUGGGCGUAAAGCGCACGUAGGCGGUUUGUUAAGUCAGGGGUGAAAUCCCAGAGCUCAACUCCUGGAACUGCCCUUUGAUACUGGCAAGCUAGAGUCCGGAAGAGGUAAGUGGAACUCCGUAGUGUAGAGGUGGAAUUCGUAGAUAUUAGGAAGAACACCAGUGGCGAAGGCGGCUUACUGGUCCGGAACUGACGCUGAGGUGCGAAAGCG